UACGGAGGGGGCUAGCGUUGUUCGGAAUUACUGGGCGUAAAGCGCGCGUAGGCGGCUUUGCAAGUUAGAGGUGAAAGCCCGGGGCUCAACUCCGGAAUUGCCUUUAAAACUGCAUCGCUAGAAUUGUGGAGAGGUAAGUGGAAUUCCGAGUGUAGAGGUGAAAUGCGUAGAUAUCAGGAGGAACACCGAUGGCGAAGGCAGGUCUCUGGGCUGACACUGACGCUCAUGCACGAAAGCGUGGGGAGCAAACAGG
rnacentral:rRNA from 1 species